rnacentral:rRNA from 1 species
UGGGGAAUAUUGCACAAUGGGCGCAAGCCUGAUGCAGCAACGCCGCGUGAACGAUGAAGGUCUUCGGAUCGUAAAGUUCUGUUGCAGGGGAAGAUAAUGACGGUACCCUGUGAGGAAGCCCCGGCUAACUACGUGCCAGCAGCCGCGGUAAUACGUAGGGGGCUAGCGUUAUCCGGAUUUACUGGGCGUAAAGGGUGCGUAGGUGGUCCUUCAAGUCGGUGGUUAAAGGCUACGGCUCAACCGUAGUAAGCCGCCGAAACUGGAGGACUUGAGUGCAGGAGAGGAAAGUGGAAUUCCCAGUGUAGCGGUGAAAUGCGUAGAUAUUGGGAGGAACACCAGUAGCGAAGGCGGCUUUCUGGACUGCAUCUGACACUGAGGCACGAAAGCGUGGGUAGCAAACAGG